UACAGAGGGGGCAAGCGUUGUUCGGAAUUACUGGGCGUAAAGGGCGCGUAGGCGGCCUGUUAAGUCGAACGUGAAAUCCCCGGGCUCAACCCGGGAGCUGCGUCCGAUACUGGCAGGCUUGAAUUCGGGAGAGGGAUGUGGAAUUCCAGGUGUAGCGGUGAAAUGCGUAGAUAUCUGGAGGAACACCGGUGGCGAAGGCGGCAUCCUGGACCGAUAUUGACGCUGAUGCGCGAAAGCCAGGGGAGCAAACGGG
rnacentral:rRNA from 1 species